UACGUAGGGUGCGAGCGUUAAUCGGAAUUACUGGGCGUAAAGCGUGCGCAGGCGGUUUUGUAAGUCUGUCGUGAAAUCCCCGGGCUCAACCUGGGAAUUGCGAUGGAGACUGCAAGGCUAGAAUCUGGCAGAGGGGGGUAGAAUUCCACGUGUAGCAGUGAAAUGCGUAGAGAUGUGGAGGAACACCGAUGGCGAAGGCAGCCCCCUGGGUCAAGAUUGACGCUCAUGCACGAAAGCGUGGGGAGCAAACAGGG
rnacentral:rRNA from 1 species